UUAUUUACAAUGAGAACUUCGACUUAUUACAGUUUUGUUAUUACAGAGGAAUGAUGUACACGUUUAUAGUUAAAUUUUCAUUUUUGCCAAUUUUGUUACUUGUAAGUAUUAAACAGGCAUUAUAUCAAUUAAAUAAAACGGACAUUUUAACAUGUUUAAUACGUGAUAAAAAAUGAAGAAAAAAAGAUACUUGCAUUUUUGUAUGGGUAUUUCGAAAACGACAUUUAGUAACAUAUAUGCUAAUCUUUAAGAAAUUCUAAUCUAUAAUACGUCCACUCAAUGUUCGCAUACUCUUAACACCGUUUUACCAGGUUCAAUCCACCGUUUUAUACAUAAGAAAAUGACUGUACCAAGUAAGGAAUAUGACAGUUGUUAUCCAUUCGUUUGAUGUGUUUGAACUUUUGAUUUUGCCAUUUGAUUUGGGACUUUCCUUUUUGAAAUUUCCUCGGAGUUCGGUAUUUUUGUGUUUUUACUUUUUAAGUGACCUAAUAUACUAUAUGUGUGGAUGUGUUUGUCGUUUUGUAAAAAUUACUAUAUUUACUUUAAUUUUAAAUUUCAGUUUGUAUUGUCAACCAGCGCAAGUGAUGGACUCAACUUUUGGGAUGCGAUGAAACAGCUUGACGAGAUGAAUCGGGAAAUUUUACAACAAAGAUCUCAUAACCAAAACGAUACGGUAGCAGAAGUUCCAUCUACAACGGUGCCACAAGAAUCAACACUGCCAUAUUCAACGUCUCUGGACUUUGACAAUAAAGUUACAACUGAGUCAACUACAGUUCAUGACAAUUCACAAGCGGAAUAUUUUAGCGCGCAACCAACAACAGAACACGGGUCAAAAGUUACCAGACAAAGUGAAGAAAUAAAAACUUCUUCGAGGAAAGAAUUUGAUAGUCUGUCAUCUUUACUGUUAAGUACGGACUCCAAAAUGAAACCAGAUAUCUCAAGUACCCAGGCUAACUCAGUGCGUAAUACUAACGCGAAAAAGUUAACAGUUACUAUCAUGGAUGAAAAAGUUGCUCGUGAUAUAUUGCUGUAUGCGGGUGUUGCAUGUGGAUCGGUGUUAGCAUGUAUUUGUAUUUUAAUACUGGUGAUAGUUCGUCGCAAGAGAAUGGAAAGUCACAAAGAAAAACAUUUAGAAAAAAGAUUUUCUGCAACAGACCAAAGAACGUACAAGGACACUAAGAUUUUUGUGAUGAGCAAAACAGGAAAGGGAGAUGAUAUUAUUAAUGCUUUCGACGCAAUACCAACUAAUACUUCUUUGUGGAAAGAAUUACAGAGCAGCACACCUAACGUAUUUUGAUAUAGAGAAGAUUACGUUAUGCUGUCGUUCACGGUGGAAAAACAAAGAAUAUGCCAAAUAAUCGUCCUUUUAAAGGAUUGGCUUGCUAUGCUGCUGUUCAAAGGGGAGAAAAAAAGAUAUGUCAAGUGAUCAUCCUUUUAUAGCUUACAAUCCGAUAUUGGUUUCGCUCAUUAUUGAAGACCAUACUGUGACGGACAUUAUAGUUGUUUAAAUCAACACAUCACAUCUCCUUAUUCUUUCAUCGUGGUAAAAACUGUAGGACUAGUUCAAAUUAUACAAUAGACUGUAUACGUUUACAAACUAUAUAUCUACACGAAAAACGGUAAUUUUAAAAUACAUUUUAUAUUAACUUUAAAGAGUUUUCACUUGUGAUUUUACGUUUGUUACAUGAUUUUAACAGUUUCGAGCCAUGAUUUCAUUUUUUUGUGGUCGGUAGAAUGAACCAAUUUUACAGGCUGAAAUUAUAUUCAAUACUCAAAGUAAUAAGUGUGAUGUUAUAAAACUGUGCAGAAACCUUAGUAUAAAUCCUUACUUAUUUUUAUUUUUGUUUGAGUUAAUCCAUGUUAUUAUAUCUUUCUCGUUAUUGUAUUCAAUGUGUACUUAAAUUUUUUUAUUGGCUGUUUAUAUGAUUUUAUCAUACAAUUGUUAUCAAUAUAAAAGUUUUCAUAUAAUAAUGUUAAAACCCCAGUUUAUUUUUAGAAUAAAAC
rnacentral:lncRNA from 1 species